GUGGCGAAGGCGGCUGUCUGGUCUGCAACUGACGCUGAGGCUCGAAAGCAUGGGUAGCGAACAGGAUUAGAUACCCUGGUAGUCCAUGCCGUAAACGAUGAGUGCUAGGUGUUGGAGGGUUUCCGCCCUUCAGUGCCGGAGCUAACGCAUUAAGCACUCCGCCUGGGGAGUACGACCGCAAGGUUGAAACUCAAAGGAAUUGACGGGGGCCCGCACAAGCGGUGGAGCAUGUGGUUUAAUUCGAAGCUACGCGAAGGAACCUUACCAGGUCUUGACAUCUUGCGCUAACCUUAGAGAUAAGGCGUUCCCUUCGGGGACGCAAUGACAGGUGGUGCAUGGUCGUCGACAGCUCGUGUCGUGAGAUGUUGGGUUAAGUCCCGCAACGAGCGCAACCCUUGUUACUAGUUGCCAGCAUUAAGUUGGGCACUCUAGUGAGACUGCCGGUGACAAACCGGAGGAAGGUGGGGACGACGUCAGAUCAUCAUGCCCCUUAUGGCCUGGGCUACACACGUGCUACAAUGGACGGUACAACGAGUCGCAAGCUCGCGAGAGUAAGCUAAUCUCUUAAAGCCGUUCUCAGUUCGGACUGUAGGCUGCAACUCGCCUACACGAAGUCGGAAUCGCUAGUAAUCGCGGAUCAGCAUGCCGCGGUGAAUACGUUCCCGGGCCUUGUACACACCGCCCGUCACACCAUGGGAGUUUGUAACGCCCAAAGUCGGUGGCCUAACCAUUAUGGAGGGAGCCGCCUAAGGCGGGACAGAUGACUGGGGUGAAGUCGUAACAAGGUA
rnacentral:rRNA from 2 species